GAUCAACUGAACACCCUAAUCCCCAUUUAAAUAUGUUGACUAGAGUUAAAUGUGCAAUAUAACCUUCAUGGGAGAGUACACCUUUGCAUAUUUGAUUGAGGAAUUUAAAACUUGACUGACCUCAAGGUAAACUGUGAUAAGAUGCUUCUGUCUCUGCUAUACCCCUAGACCAGAGAGACCUUGGUGAUUUCAUUCACAUUAAAUUGUGUGCACAGAUUAAGAGAUGAUGAGGAGAUGUUCCUCCCCUAGUGGCUAAAGGAUAUACAAGCUUAUUCAGCAGGGACAUAUGAACAACCAGAAAAAACUGGACUUCUAUAAAAAUUCUUCAAACUGAUUUCAGUACUUCUACUGUCUCUUGAAAUGCCAAGAGUUUGUCUUUAGACCUAAGUGUGUUCCUAAAUAAAUAUUUAGAUUUUACUCCCACUUUUAUAACCCUUACUUAAGCUGGCAUAAACAAUGCCUUACCCACCAAACAACUCCCGCAAAGCAACAGAUAAGAUGACUGCAAUAUUAAGGAUGUACACAGCAAAUAUGCCAGUGUUAUUUUUUCAGCGUCAGUGUUAAUUAACUGGGGUUACUGUUGUUUUUACUCAGAAUUGAUCAAAACCAACACUCAAAGUCGUCAGUUACUCCAAGUGUAAGAGUGGACUUUGGUCGUCCUGAGAAUUACUCUGAAAUUACACCAGGGCUCAUUCAAUUGGCCACACCCAGCCACCGGUGAGCUGAGCCUGCGCGCCCACUUGACCUUGUCAGACACACAGCCUGGACUUCGGCCAGAUUUCAUCUUGCAGCGUUGGUAGGGCAGGUUGUUUACUGACUGAGGGGUUGGUGGUUCGAAUCCCAGCUCUGCUGUCCACAUAUUGGUGACCUUGGGCAACACACUGAAUCCGAAAUCGCUUAGGAAAUACAGAUGAAAAUGAGGAUUCCUGCUAUCUCUGGUGUAUUUAUAGUUCAUCACGUAUGCUCUGCUCAUUUAUGCACACUUGUCCCUCUCAAAUAAACAAAUCAUAUUGACCUUUCUUCUGUUUUAGUGUUGGCAAAAUUCAAUUUGCCAGUUUCUGCUUCCUUGAGCCUGAAGGAUUCUGCAGGCAUGGAAGUGGAUUUGGACAUAUUUGAUGAACUCUUGAAGUCAUCUUAGGUGUCUUUCAAGGCUGAAGAGUGUAAUGGUGCUGAGGAGGAUGAGAGUGGUCACCAUCCCAUGCAUCCCAGGGGUCAUCAUCAGGUUCUGACUUGACAGUAAUACUGGAAUCUGGUGAACAUACUAGUGGCUGACAUGGUGGAGAGUCAUGGGUAAGUGAAUAUGCACUUGCAAUAACAGGUUGUUGUUGUUGUUUUUACCUCCAAAAGCCUCUUUUACCUCUGUUGCAUUUUUGGGGGGAUGAAUGAUGCUGUUCUCCCAACAUUGCAGGGUAGACUUAACAGCACGUGUGUGCUGAUGCUGGAGUCGUUCCGUGACGGCGCCAUCUUGGCUAUGUCAUGUGAUCAUGUCUUUACCUGUCAGCCAAACUUCAGGAAAUGAUAGAGCUGGUGCAAGUAGUAAUCCACAUAGUCUAUGAAUUUCCUUGUUUGGCUAGAAAUGCAAUCUUUAUUGCGGACUGCAUAGGAGUGUCCAAGAGGGCACUCACCAGCUAACAGAUUAACAUUUUUUCUUGAAAUCAACAGGAACAUUUCUAUGAUCACCAGAGUGGUGGUAAGUGUAAAUUGGACAGUAGAUUGAACACAACAUCGUUGUGUUUUUGGCCCCUUUACUACAAAUCACAUACUGCACCUUACUGCUGACCAUUUUAAACCCACGGUGUAAUUUUGGAAAACAAACUUCAGUAUGGUGUGACACUUGAAAGUUAUUCCUAUAGUGUCAAUUCUAAUUCUUCAGCAUGGCAUUCUGCAGAGUGGGACUCUGAGAUGGCCGCCAUCCUUCUGCUGCUUCACCUCUUACAUCCAGCCUGUAAGGGCAAGAAGACUGGCAAGAUUAGCGCAUCAGAUGCUGCUGGACGCCUGAUCAAGUUCAUGAAGGUGGGGAAUAGCAUGGAGACCUUCCUCAAGGAAACUGGCCUCAAAUAGCCCUUCUGUGUGUCGGAGAAAGGAGCAACAGCAUCCAGGAUUUCCACAUCAUCCUGGACCAGAAGGCCAUUCCCUGCAGGAUGCAGACCACAGUUGCCGCCUUCGACAAGCUCUUCAAGGCACAUUUUACUUUCGCUGUGCCGUAUGAUGAUGCGCUGUCCAGCUUCUUCACAUUCAUCCAGAGCACCGUGUAUGGGAUCAAUGCGGGCAGUGUGAAGGAGAGUCCCCGGGUCAAGGAAAUCAGAGCAAGGCUUCUUCACUGUGCAGUUUGAAGAACAACACAUCUUUGACCUGAAGUAUGUGCACCUGUUACAUUUGCAAGGCACACCACACAUUUUGUUCAGUGAUAUUCAGAUAUUUGAAGUUCCAGCAUGGAUUGUUGCCUGCAAAGUCUUUGCGCUUGAAAUGUGGAGAGCCUGAAUGUUCUUUUGUUUUCUGCACAUACUCUGGUUACCAACGUCACUUAUCUCGAGCACAUGGGGACUGUCUUGAUCCAGAUCCUGUCGAUUUUGAGAUUGAGCAUGUAGCUGACCCUGUAGCUGAGCCUAUAGCUGGACCAUGAGAUGAGAUUUGAAGGAAAGCACAACUUCUUUAAAAAGUCUAUUAAAAAUUUUAAAAACGUUGCCAUGACACUGGCUAAGAAACAUCAGGAAGAGUUAGCAUCUCAUUUCGAGAACUCUAAGUUUAAAAGAUUAAAGUUUGGUCCCAUAAGUCAAGUCUUGGUCAGCAGUUUAGAGGGUGGAGAGGCACUGAAUGAAUCUUUUGAUGUAUUGACUGUUUCCACCACCCCUUGGGUCAAAAGCUAUGGCACAGAGUAUCAGGUGGGGAUGUAUGUGGUUACUGGAGUUGAAAAUGAGAUGCCUUUGUUCAACAGGAUUGACAGUAUGAUUAUUAGAGACGACAAUGCUUAUCUUUUAAUUUGUAAAGUCUCAACCCUUUUCUUUGAUGAUCAUUUCAAUACAUUUGCUAUUGAGGAGAACACUGGGGUUUUCACAGUAAUAUCUGUAAACGACCUGUUACAUUACAGACCUUGUGAUAGGCAAUUUUCAUAUGACACCGAUGACCAAGUGUACCUUGUUCCAUACUGUAUUUAUGUAUGAUGAAUCCAUGCAGUCUGUUAUGCUGUCUGUUGUGAAAGUGAUGUGGUGGACUUUUAAUGAUAAUAUAUUUUUCUUAAGAAAUUGU